rnacentral:rRNA from 1 species
UUGUCUCUAUACACCUGUUGCUUUGGCGGGCCCACCGGGGCCACCUGGUCGCCGGGGGACGUUCGUCCCCGGGCCCGCGCCCGCCGAAGCGCUCUGUGAACCCUGAUGAAGAUGGGCUGUCUGAGUACUAUGAAAAUUGUCAAAACUUUCAACAAUGGAUCUCUUGGUUCCGGCAUCGAUGAAGAACGCAGCGAAAUGCGAUAAGUAAUGUGAAUUGCAGAAUUCCGUGAAUCAUCGAAUCUUUGAACGCACAUUGCGCCCCCUGGCAUUCCGGGGGGCAUGCCUGUCCGAGCGUCAUUUCUGCCCUCAAGCACGGCUUGUGUGUUGGGUGCGGUCCCCCCGGGGGCCUGCCCGAAAGGCAGCGGCGACGUCCGUCUGGUCCUCGAGCGUAUGGGGCUUUGUCACUCGCUCGGGAAGGACUGGCGGGGGUUGGUCACCACCACAAAAUUUUACCACGGUUGACCUCGGAUCAGGUAGGAGUUACCCGCUGAACUUAAGCAUAUCAAUA